GUCUACAGCUAAGCCACCCUGAAUAAGACUGAUGUCUGAUCUCGGAAGCUAAGCAGGGUCAGGCCUGGUUAGUACUUGGAUGGGAGACCAUCUAGGAAGACCAAGUGCUGUAAGCA
rnacentral:rRNA from 1 species